rnacentral:sRNA from 1 species
ACUUAGGAAUGGAGAUGGGCUAGAAGAGAUGUAGAGGUCAUCUGGAAGAGUGGGGGACAGCAAGCUGUGCCAUCUGAAAAUGCUAGGUACAGGGUCAACUACACAGACUCCUGGAGCAGACAGGAGUCUAACAUGGCUGUCCUCUGAGACGCUCCACCCAGCACCCGACUCAGACAGAUACAGACAGCCACCAUCUAAAGGUGAAUGGAGCUUGAGGACUUUUAUGGAAGAAUAAGAGGAAGGAUUGGAGCCCCAAACGGGAUAGGAACUCCACAGGAAGAGCAACAGAGUCAACUAACCUGGACCCUUGGGACUCUCACAGUACAAAUUUACUCUUAAUCUUUAUGUACUGUUUCAUUGGAUGUUACUGCAAAACAUGCAUACUAUCUGCCAUACUAUCUGGAUUUGCCAAAAUAUUAGAGAUUCCAAAGCCAUGGGAUACCUGCUAAGGAGAGCUGCUAACAAAGUGGAACCAACCUAAGUGACAGAAAUGUUCUGCUGUUAACAGUGCAGAAAGGAAUUGGAGAUCUAACAUCAGACAUAAAGAAUCAGCAUGUCUGGUUUCAAGUGAUCAUGGAUACAGAAAAUUCCAUUUACACAGAAGAAUACUACCUGGCUAUGAAAAACGACAACUUCAUGAAUUUUGCAGCAAAAUGGAUGGAACUAGUAAAUAUUGGCCUGAGUGAGGUAACCCAUACACGAAAGGAGCUACAUGUCCUUUUGCAUUCAUGGCAAAUGCAUAUGUGUGCACAUGAAGUGAAUGAACAGGAAAAAGUCUAACUCUCCAUUUCAACAGAUGAUAUAUUGCUGGAUGCCCAAGUCAGUUAUAUCAGCCAGUCACACACAUAGAGAUUUUAUUAGAGUACCAGGAAAUGCAGAUAUCAAUAUUCCAAUGUGCUAUCAUGUGAAAGUUUGCAUAACUGUGCCAAGGAGUAAAAAUGGAAUUGCUCUGUAUAAUGAAAGUGACAAUGAUGGAUGGAGAUAUAGCAUAAGCCCCUGCUGCUGAAGAUGCCAUGCAUUUAUGACACAGGUAGUCAAGAUAUCUGAGAUGGAACUAACCUUAAUGCAUCAUCCCUGAGGAACAUCUUUCAUGGCACCACAAGGAGCAAGCACCCAAAGGAGGUAAGCAAACAGUAGUCUUACUCAGCUAUGACUAGUAGGCUAUAGUAGCACUAAGGGUGAGGUAGUGACAUGCAUACCUUGGCAGAAACCAAUAGCUAGCUGGAGCGUAAACCUACUCAACAAACUUAACUGAUAGAGGAAACAGUUAAAUUCUCAGUGCUAGAGAAGUCAGGGACUUGGGAGAAAAUCCUACAGCCACCACUCCACCAAAACAAGUGUUAUUCAUUUCUCAUUUCAAAAGUUUAUAAUCACAGACUCGUCUCAUCCUUAUCACACAUCAAACGAAAUCUUUACAACAGGUAGAAAAUAGUUAUGGAACAUCACAACCAACUAUACUACAGAGCUGUGGAAUCCAGUUCCAGUAAAUAUAUCUAGAAAACUUCUGCUUCAGCAGAUUGUGAAACAGUGCAAAGUAAAGGGCAGAAAGAUUAAGAGCCAGAUGAUCAUGGAGUUUUCUGCAACAGUACGUAUUCUAACAAUCUCAGAGGCUACACCCCUGAAGUAUCACAAGCAGAACAGCCUAAAUGUGAGCUAAAUAAAGACAAUAACAAUAGACAUGCCAAUACAGACAAGGAAAGACCAUAAAGCCUCAGCCUUACACAAAGUAUUAGAAGCAUCUAAAGAAUAGUAAAAACAGGAGAAAAAUAUCUUUCCCAGGGAUCCAUACGCCAACUGGUUGUCCACUGUUAAUUGAUCAGUCUUGAAAACAAAUAUUUAAGUAAUGUUAUACAGUCA